rnacentral:rRNA from 1 species
AUUGAACGCUGGCGGCAUGCCUUACACAUGCAAGUCGAACGGUAACAGGUUAAGCUGACGAGUGGCGAACGGGUGAGUAAUAUAUCGGAACGUGCCCAGUCGUGGGGGAUAACGUAGCGAAAGCUACGCUAAUACCGCAUACGAUCUACGGAUGAAAGCGGGGGAUCGCAAGACCUCGCGCGAUUGGAGCGGCCGAUAUCAGAUUAGGUUGUUGGUGAGGUAAAAGCUCACCAAGCCUGCGAUCUGUAGCUGGUCUGAGAGGACGACCAGCCACACUGGGACUGAGACACGGCCCAGACUCCUACGGGAGGCAGCAGUGGGGAAUUUUGGACAAUGGGCGAAAGCCUGAUCCAGCCAUGCCGCGUGUCUGAAGAAGGCCUUCGGGUUGUAAAGGACUUUUGUCGGGGAGGAAAUCCCCAGCGUUAAUACCGCUGGGGAUGACAGUACCUGAAGAAUAAGCACCGGCUAACUACGUGCCAGCCGCCGCGGUAA